CUUACCUAAGGAGGGCAUCAGAGCUGUGAGAAGAAUCCACAAGCCUGAGGAACUAUCUGUGUAUGUGGAACAUAAGCAGUGGACUGGAACAGGGCUCUUCCUCAGAGUUGUGACCAAGCCAUCUCAGUAAGGUCUUGAUUUGUUGGAGGAUGACCUUCCUUCACAUUGUAUUAAGGUCUUGUCUCAUCUGACAUCAUUUUGCCAAUCGGCCCCGAGUCCUUCAGCAAGAAUCCACAGCACACCACCUGAAGUUUUUUGGUAUGUUUUUCUAUAUGGAGACUCUAUAUGCAAUGUAAGGCUGACCAGUAGAUGUGUGUUGUUAGUGAAGAAUCUUUUGUCACAUGUCCUUUUAUAUGCUUGUUUUAGCAAAACAUUUUUUCUGUGUCUUCUUUAGCAAAACUUUCCUUUACCACUCUGUCUUUACUCUCUUUCCUGUGUCCACUUUAGCAAAAUGUUCCUUCAUGUGUUUGCCCUGGCAAAACAUCAUCCUGGCUUUCUAAAGAAUGCUUAAGUUUCCACUUCACUCUUCUUUUGCCUUUGUAACAUUUAAAGAACCCGGCAUGGGUUUCAAAUAGCUCCUCUGUGAUUCCAGAUGCAGCUUUCAGUUUCGUUAAGCCUAGGCUUUUGACUUCUAGUCUUUUGGUUUCUCUCUUAACUCUUUAAUUCCCCAUUUUAAUUAAUUUUGCUGUCCUUGUCCCCCACUCCCACUCCC